AUGAGCAGUGUUGAGCAGACAUCACCCCGCUCCAACAGCAGAAACCACAUAAGCCUACCCAUGCGAUGUUGAGCUGAGCUAAUCAGCAGCAGAGCUAACAAGCCCUGGUGAAGCCGCACAAGAUCUCAGUUACCAUGCUGUUAGGAGCACAGCACCCUCCCAGCACCAAGUGCUCUGCUCUGCUGCAGAAGACCCACACAUCCUCCCAGGACACUCUCCAUCUCACCAAUGUGCUCUUCUUGGGAUUGCAAGUGUAAAGCUUUCUUGUGCACAGUCAGAAAAAUAGUCUGCCCAGAACAGAAAAGCAGAAACCCAAAAGAAUGAAGUACCAAAGCAAGACAAGUAAGGCCUUCUGUUCCCGUGAGCUGGACAGGAAGAAGUCUUCUGUACUGCUAAUGUCAUAUUGGUGGACUUUAUACACGAGGACGCUUCUGUGGCUCUUACUACAGUUUUAUCCUUAUAUUUUGAACACUACCUAAAUGGAGUCCUUGGUGUUAUUUUAAAUGAACUCACAGCUUUUUGUGAGCUUAAACAGACUUCAUGCAAUCCUUGCAGUAGAUUUUGUGAAGGAUCCCAGAUGGAAGGACUGAGAUCCCAGAUGAACCAACUGAAGUAAAUGUUCCAAACUAAAACUGGUGUGAACUUUCCCCAUUUGUCUUAAAUUACAGUUAACCUCAAAGCAUAGUCGUGACCACUUAAAUCCUAAAACUACUGAGCAACUAGCUAAAACAGAAGUACUCAUUAAAGAAUUGUCAUCAUGAGAAAAGGCAGCUGAGUCAAGUUUUGCUCCAGAAUCUGGCCAGGAAAAUAACUUCACAGAACAAACCUAGACUUUGGUUGUCAGAGGAGGUUACUUCAAAGGUAGGACUACUAGAUCACUUUAUUUUACUGUCAGGGCACACUUUAAUAGGCAUAUGAACAUGUUUUUGAUUUUGACAACAAUUUUAUGUAAUGGGUCUCCCCUCUACUGACACAACAAGGGUUGAUGUCUUACACAAUUGAUGUAAUACAGUGAUCUAACUGUCUGAUUUCGCCUGCAGAUCAGGUACCUAAUACAACUGGGGCCUGUUGAUGCACUUACACCGCACCUGCACCUAUUUGCUUUGACAGCUUUCCAGCAUACAAAUAAUGGUAAUAAUAAUAAUAAUCCAGUUUCUAAAAUCU
rnacentral:lncRNA from 1 species